rnacentral:rRNA from 1 species
AGUCGAGCGGAGAUGAGGUGCUUGCACCUUAUCUUAGCGGCGGACGGGUGAGUAAUGCUUAGGAAUCUGCCUAUUAGUGGGGGACAACAUUUCGAAAGGAAUGCUAAUACCGCAUACGCCCUACGGGGGAAAGCAGGGGAUCUUCGGACCUUGCGCUAAUAGAUGAGCCUAAGUCGGAUUAGCUAGUUGGUGGGGUAAAGGCCUACCAAGGCGACGAUCUGUAGCGGGUCUGAGAGGAUGAUCCGCCACACUGGGACUGAGACACGGCCCAGACUCCUACGGGAGGCAGCAGUGGGGAAUAUUGGACAAUGGGGGGAACCCUGAUCCAGCCAUGCCGCGUGUGUGAAGAAGGCCUUUUGGUUGUAAAGCACUUUAAGCGAGGAGGAGGAGCUCUAGAUUAAUACUCUAGAUGCUUGGACGUUACUCGCAGAAUAAGCACCGGCUAACUCUGUGCCAGCAGCCGCGGUAAU